GCUUUGCGGUUUAGCAGCCUCUAGCACUUCUUACUAUGAGGUGUGAGCUUUGGCAGUGUGGACGAGCAUCGUGCUCCGUAGACCAGUAGCCAGUAGGUGGUGGUAGUAACACUAGUAUGAAUCAGACUCUUGUAUUGGCCAAUGAUGUGUAUGUCUAGGAUCUUGGCUCAGUAACCAGGGGAAGGGAGAGGGGGAGAAUUGGAUGGAGGGUCCUUUGGUACACUGUGUUUCCUGUUAGUAGGCACUGGGGAACUCAAGCCUUUACAGAAAUGACAUGCUGCUGACACAGAGCUUCCCGGGAGCAGCUCAGUAUAGCUGGAUCUUAUUGUAAAAGCUUGGGUAGCAAUGUGUUUGACUUGAAGCACAAUAUACAAUCAAUUUAGAAAGCCGUCCCAAUGAAACCAUAUGUUGAUGGAACCAUACAUUGUUAUUACAAGAAUUUAUAGUCAGUGCAGUACAUCCCACUCAAAUCUGGAUGUUGGGAGAAAAUAUUUCAAUAUCGUGAAUGGAAAUGCAGUUAAACUUGGUGCUAGCCGGGCACUGUUUAGUCAUGGAUGGUCAGUGUUUAGUCAGGGAUUGUCAGUGUCUAGUCAGGGAUGGUCUGUGUUUAGUCAGGGAUGGUCAGUGUUUAGUCAGAAUGCACCUAUCUGUCCCUCUGUCUGUCUGUUUCUUCUCUUUCAGAUGACUGUGGAUCAACCUGACCAACUGCAAGUUCGAGAGUGGAAGUUGACCCAUCUGCUGGAGACGAUGCACUGAUACGGGGAAGGUGUGGGCUGACAUCGAGGAUGUGGUGAUCAAGGCUCUGGUCUCAGCCCACUCAGUGCUCCAGCACAGCUACCACACAUGCUUCUCGUACCACGCCGCCUCCAACACCGCCACCGGGGCCUACUUCGGGAUCCUGGGCUUCGACGUGCUCAUCGACUACCACCUCAAGCCCUGGCUGUUCGAGGUGAGACCACACACACUCACUUGCUCAUGUAUUUGUACAGUGUGAUAUACUUGUGUAUUUGUGUGUGGAGAUCAACCACUCCACUAGCUUCACUACAGACUCCAGGCUGGACAGAGAGGUGAAGGACAGGCUGCUGUAUGACAUGAUGGUGCUGAUUAACCUGGGGGCCUGUGACUGACGCAAAGCCACUGAGGAAGAGAGGAGCAGGAUCAGAGACUGGCUGCAGCACAUCCGCUCCAAGGAGACACGGUGUGUUCUCUGCCUCCGAGCCUGCCUGCCAUCCUGUACCUGGCUGACUCUGACCUGAUCA